UUAAUUUAUAGUCGGCACUCUGUCGGAUUUUUUUGUAAAAUUUGCGGAAAUCCCGAAUUAAUCAAAAUUUCAAAGAAUGACAUAAAGGUUAGAAAUUUCACUUAAAAGUUUUUUAAUCAAUAAUAUAAGAAUUGGAAAUUGUAAUAAAAUAAGAUAAAAUGCUCUAGCACUUUGUGUGACAUGUCUUGCUCGGCUACACUGUAAACGGGUAAGGGGUGUCACAUGAGCAAACCAGAGACAGAAGGGAGGGGAUAUGGAGUUUUAAAUGGAACAAAUAAGUGACAAAUAUGCUAUUCUUAGAGAUAAUUGACACUGAUUUGGCAAAAGCAGUAAGUGUUCCUGAUUAUCUUUGGUUCUCAUUAAAAGCUAUAUCAAUGGAAUAUGUUCUCUGAUUGUACAAUCAAUGGCCAAAGUUCGUCCUCUGUAUUUUCUUGGUGUGAGACUGCAUCAAAUGUAAAGAAAUCUUAUAUUUCCUCGCCUUUUCAUUGUUCUUCUUCUUCUUCUUCUUUUUUUAAUAAAAGCACAUAAUUCACUUUUUAUGCUUUUGAAUUGUUAUCUUAGGCCGUGUCCUUUUUUUUUUUUUUCCUCUUUUUUCCAUUUGGGUAAAGUUCUUGUUUUAAAAAAGGCAUACCAAAUAAAGCCCUUCAUAGUGAUUUUUGUUUUCAUAUUCAAUCCCAACCCUCACUUCUAAAAAUUGUUGUCUUUACUACCAAAAAAACUCUUCUCUCCAUUUCCUGCAGAUACAAGUGAACAGAAUCAGAAUGAUGACAACAAUGCCUGUGAUCAUGAACUGCGCCCACAAGAAGAUUUCCACUAAUGCUGGAAUGCCCUUGGGUGGGUUAAAGAAGGCACUGAAGUUGAACUUGAUAAUGUUGGAUGCCUUAGCUUGAGAGAGCAAAAAUUUGAAAAGGUUACUGCAUCCCACGGAACAAAUGUUACAAGAUUCACUCUGAGGAACAUUUUGAGGAUGUAUCCUAAAGGUAUUCGAAAUGACUCUUCCAACUACAAGCCAAUGAAUGGUUAGUUGCACCAAGCUCAAAUGGUAGCACUUAACAUGCAGGGAUAUGGAAAAUCACUUUUUUUGAUGGAUGGGAUGUUUAGAUCAAAUUGAGGGUGUGGUUUUGUUAAAAUUCCUGUUUUUUUAAUGUGGGUCCAGAAAAUAAGGUUAAAGUUUAUGUGGGGAAUGGAUGGCAUUUGGAUUUAAAGCGAGCACAAUUUGCUUUAUUCUGCUCACCAGAUUUCUAUAUCAGGAGAACAUUGGCAUAGCAGGGGCGUCAACUGAUAGGGCAAUGAAGAAAACAAAGAAAAAGAGAACAAUUGGACUCCCAUUUGGGAUGAAGAGUUCACCUUUCCAGGAAUUGGCUUUGCUUCGUGUUGAAGUUCAUGACCGUUUCAUGCCUGAGAAGGAUGAUUUAGCAGGUCAAGCCUGUUUGCCCCUCUCUCAAUAAGGCUAGGCAUCCGUGCAGUUCCCCUCUUUGAUGAGAAGGGAAAAUAAGUUCAGCUCAAUGAGACUUCUUAUGCAGUUUGAGUUUCUUUAGAAAGUUCCAAGUUCAGUUUGAUAUAUACGUGAUGAUUAAUUUGUUUCAGGUGAAGUAUGUAUACAUGGCGAUUCAUAUCCAUGUACAUGCUUUUACAUGCUUAAUUGGGUUGAACUGCUGUAAACACUUGUUAAAUUGAUGAUCAAAUGGAACAAAUGUUUCAAGUU